CCCUUAGAUGUCCUGGGCUGCACGCGCGCUACACUGACACGUUCAGCAAGUUUCCUAUUCCGAAGGGAAAAGGUAAUCUUUUGAAAUCGUGUCGUGAUGGGGAUAGAUUAUUGCAAUUAUUAAUCUUCAACGAGGAAUUCCUAGUAAGUGUAAGUCAUCAGCUUGCACUGAUUACGUCCCUGCCUUUUGUACACACCGUCCGUCGCUCCUACCGAUUGAGUGAUCUGGUGAAUAAUUCGGACUGCGCUUGUGGGCAACCAUUUGUGCGGGAAGUUUAGUGAACCUUAUCACUUAGAGGAAGGAGAANUCGUANCA
rnacentral:rRNA from 1 species